GCUCGAGUGGCGAAUGGGUGAGUAACACGUGAGUAACCUGCCCUUGACUUUGGGAUAACUUCAGGAAACUGGGGCUAAUACCGGAUAGGAGCUCCUGCUGCAUGGUGGGGGUUGGAAAGUUUCGGCGGUUGGGGAUGGACUCGCGGCUUAUCAGCUUGUUGGUGGGGUAGUGGCUUACCAAGGCUUUGACGGGUAGCCGGCCUGAGAGGGUGACCGGCCACAUUGGGACUGAGAUACGGCCCAG
rnacentral:rRNA from 1 species